rnacentral:rRNA from 1 species
UACAGAGGUGGCGAGCGUUAUUCGGAAUUAUUGGGCGUAAAGGGCGCGUAGGCGGCCACGCAAGUCUUGGGUGAAAUCCCUCGGCUCAACCGAGGAACUGCCUUGGAAACUGCAUGGCUCGAGGCCGGGAGAGGGUAGCGGAAUUCCCAGUGUAGCGGUGAAAUGCGUAGAUAUUGGGAGGAACAUCGGUGGCGAAGGCGGCUACCUGGACCGGUUCUGACGCUGAUGCGCGAAAGCGUGGGGAGCAAACAGG